rnacentral:rRNA from 1 species
CCAUCUACCUUUUAGUGGGGAAUACCUCUGGGAAACCGGAGACAAUACCGCAUAAGCCCGCAAGGGGAAAGCAGCAAUGCGCUGAAAGAGGAGUCCGCGGCCGAUUAGCUAGUUGGCGGGGUAAUGGCCCACCAAGGCGAAGAUCGGUAGCCGGCCUGAGAGGGCACACGGCCACACUGGCACUGAAACACGGGCCAGACUCCUACGGGAGGCAGCAGUGGGGAAUCUUGCACAAUGGGCGAAAGCCUGAUGCAGCGACGCCGCGUGAGCGAUGAAGCCCUUCGGGGUGUAAAGCUCUUUCGACGGGAACGAUAAUGACGGUACCCGGAGAAGAAGCUGCGGCUAACUACGUGCCAGCAGCCGCGGUAAUACGUAGGCAGCGAGCGUUGUUCGGAAUUACUGGGCGUAAAGAGUGUGUAGGCGGUGCUCCCAGUCUGUUGUGAAAUCUCCCGGCUUAACUGGGAGGGUGCAGCGGAAACUAGAGUGCUAGAGGGUGGGAGAGGUAAGCGGAAUUCCUGGUGUAGCGGUGAAAUGCGUAGAUAUCAGGAGGAACACCUGUGGUGUAGACAGCUUACUGGACCACUUCUGACGCUGAGACACGAAAGCGUGGGUAGCAAACAGGAUUAGAUACCCUGGUAGUCCACGCCCUAAACGAUGCAUACUUGGUGUGAGCGAUUCAUUUCGUUCGUGCCGGAGCUAACGCGUUAAGUA